ensembl:misc_RNA Metazoa_SRP Metazoan signal recognition particle RNA
ACUGGGCAUGGUGUUGCAUGCUUGCAGUCCCAGCUACUCAGGAGGCUCAGGCAGGAGGAUCACUUGAGUCCAGGAGUUCUGGGCUAUAGUAAUCUAUGCUGAUCAAGUGUCCAUACUAAUUUCAGCAUCAAUAGGGUGACCUCCCAGGAGUUAGGGACCACCAAGUUGCCUAAGGAGUGAACCAGCCCAGGUCUGAAGCAGAGCAGGUCAAAACUCCUGUGCUGAUUAGUAGUAGGAUCACUCCUGUGAAUAACCACUACACCCUGGCCUGAGCAACAUAGUGAGACCCUGUCUGUU